UGGAAUAAUAGAAUAGGAUCUCGGUUCUAUUUUGUUGGUUUACGGAACUUGAGGUAAUGAUUAAGAGGGACAGACGGGGGCAUUCGUAUUACGGUGUUAGAGGUGAAAUUCUUGGAUCGCCGUAAGACGAACUACUGCGAAAGCAUUUGCCAAGAAUGUUUUCAUUAAUCAAGAACGAAAGUCAGAGGAUCGAAGACGAUCAGAUACCGUCGUAGUUCUGACCAUAAACGAUGUCGACUGGCGAUCCGCGGGAGUUGUCCUUCUAUGACCCCGCGGGCAGCCUUCGGGAAACCAAAGUUUUUGGAUUCCGGGGGAAGUAUGGUUGCAAAGCCGAAACUAAAGGAAUGACGAAGG
rnacentral:rRNA from 1 species